UGGGGAAUUUUGGACAAUGGGCGCAAGCCUGAUCCAGCCAUGCCGCGUGCGGGAAGAAGGCCUUCGGGUUGUAAACCGCUUUUGUCAGGGAAGAAAUCUUCUGAGUUAAUACCUCGGGAGGAUGACGGUACCUGAAGAAUAAGCACCGGCUAACUACGUGCCAGCAGCCGCGGUAAUACGUAGGGUGCAAGCGUUAAUCGGAAUUACUGGGCGUAAAGCGUGCGCAGGCGGUUUUGUAAGACAGAGGUGAAAUCCCCGGACUCAACCUGGGAACUGCCUUUGUGACUGCAAGGCUUGAGUGCGGCAGAGGGGGAUGGAAUUCCGCGUGUAGCAGUGAAAUGCGUAGAUAUGCGGAGGAACACCGAUGGCGAAGGCAAUCCCCUGGGCCUGCACUGACGCUCAUGCACGAAAGCGUGGGGAGCAAACAGGAUUAGAUACCCUGGUAGUCCACGCCCUAAACGAUGUCAACUGGUUGUUGGGAAGGUUCCUUCUCAGUAACGUAGCUAACGCGUGAAGUUGACCGCCUGGGGAGUACGGCCGCAAGGUU
rnacentral:rRNA from 1 species